rnacentral:rRNA from 1 species
GAUGAACGCUGGCGGCGUGCCUAAUACAUGCAAGUCGAGCGAACAGACGAGGAGCUUGCUCCUCUGACGUUAGCGGCGGACGGGUGAGUAACACGUGGAUAACCUACCUAUAAGACUGGGAUAACUUCGGGAAACCGGAGCUAAUACCGGAUAAUAUAUUGAACCGCAUGGUUCAAUAGUGAAAGACGGUUUUGCUGUCACUUAUAGAUGGAUCCGCGCCGCAUUAGCUAGUUGGUAAGGUAACGGCUUAGCAAGGCAACGAUGCGUAGCCGACCUGAGAGGGUGAUCGGCCACACUGGAACUGAGACACGGUCCAGACUCCGACGGGAGGCAGCAGUAGGGAAUCUUCCGCAAUGGGCGAAUGCCUGACGGAGCAACGCGGCGUAAGUGAUGAAGGUCUUAGGAUCGUAAAGCUCUGUUAUUAGGAGAGAACAAAUGUGUAAGUAACUAUGAACGUCUUGACGGUACCUAAUCAGAAAGCCACGGCUAACUCCGUG